rnacentral:lncRNA from 11 species
CCCUGAGGCAUUUGUCUGCUUUCCAGACAUGUAAGGAGGCCUCCAGAUUUAAACCAGCUGUGAUCUCAUUCAUUACUGAUAGAGUUACGUUCAUUUAAAGCAACUUUUAGCUGAAUCACUCUGGUUGUGAACAGAACGGAAUGGUUAAAGCAAGUUAAUCACUGUAUUGGGUAGCUAAUUUUUUGUAUUCUAAGUGCUCUAAGCAUUGAAUGUUUGCCAUCUUUUGUUGGAAACUGCCUAUCAGGGGCCUAUUAUGACAUCCUGAGUGAUGACACCCAAG